rnacentral:lncRNA from 1 species
GAGCUUCCGGAUAGCUGAACGCAUGGAGGCUGACAGGACAGUGAAGGAGAACUCAUCCACGCGCUGGGCGAGUGGUGCACCCCAACUCCACAGGAACGGAAGCUCCUCCAGAUCUUGCCUUGUGUUAUCUUUCCAUCUGGCUAUUUAUUUGCAUCCUUUUUAAAUGUAAGUAAGUGCUUCCAUGAGUUCCGUGAGCUCCUCCAGCAAAUUAAUCAACCCCGAAGAGGGUGGGUCAUGGUAACCCCAACUUGAAGCCAGCUGGUCAGACAUUCUGGAAGCCCAGACUCGUGACUGGUGGGAAGGAGGGAGCAGUUCUGUGGAACUGAUUCCUCAACCUGUGGUUUCUGAGGCUAUUUCCAGGUAGAUGGUGUCACAGUUGAAUUAACUGGUGGACACCCGGCUGUGUCCACUGCAGAACUAAUUGCUUACUUGGUGUGUGGGAAGAAACCCCUACAUAUUUUGUCACAGAAGUCUUCUGUAUUAUUAUGGUGUAAGAGAACAGGAAAAAUGCAUGUUGACUGUUUUUUCCACACUCCCAGUCCACAAAAGUUUUCUCCACUUAUGAACAAAUAAUGUGUGUGUGUGUUUUUUUGUUUUUUUGUUUUUUUGUUUUUCCUGAGACAGGGUCUCACUCUGUCAUCCAGGCUGGGGUGCAGUGGUGUGAUCAUGGCUCACUGCAGCUUCAAUCUCCCAGGUCCAAGUGAUCCUUCUACCUCAGCCUCCCAAGUAGCUGGGACCACAGGUGUGUGCCACCAUACCCAGUUAAUUUUUAAAUUUUUUGUAGAGACAGGGUCUCCCUAUGUUGCCCAGGCUGGUUUUGAACUUCUGAAGCGAUCCUCUCACCUCAGCCUCCAAAAGUCCUGGGAUAACAGGCAUGAGCCACUGUGCCUGGCCAUGAAUACAAAGAAUUUUAACAGACACAAGAUGCAGAUAUGAAGGAAUAGAUGAAUGAAUAGACGCGUGCUGGACAGGAUGGAGUGAAGGGAUGUGUGAAAAGGUAGGAAUGAGUGGGUAAGCGGAGGAGGACAGUGCUGCUCACAGAAGUUCAUGAGCUAAAUGGUAAAGUGAGUCCUAGGCCUUUGAUGGAUACGAGGGAAAGAAGGUAUGUUACUCCCUCAGCCUUACCCAUAGGAGAAGUAAUGUGAACUGAUUUUAGGAGCAAACAGGAAACUUACCCCCAAAUCUCACUCUAGUAUACUAGAAAUCCUUUACUUUUGUAUCUUUUAACUAAGAGGGAAAUAAAUAACAUUGUCAGACCCUCAUUUCACAGAUGAGGAAACUUAGGCCUACAAAGGGCAAGUGGUUUGCCAAAAUGUAACAAGUGGGUUUGGAGCUACAAUGGGACUAGAGCUUAGGUCUCUUAAUUCCCAUUCCUUGCUCUUUUCACCACCCAAAGCUGACACUAGAAGGAAUGACUACGGUGCAGAAUUUCCAAACCCUAAUUUGAGGAAAUUCCCCAAGGGGACUUUUUCAUGCAAGCUGGAGAGCCUCAAAAAUGCAAUGAAUGCCUAGGAAGGUUCUAAGGGCCCUAAUAUUCUAACCUGAACACUAGAAAGCAGGGCAAGCAGCAUAGUGGGGAAGCAGGGGACUGGGACCCCCGUCCCUGAGAAUGGAAGUAAUAGGCAAGAAGCCAAGGGGCUUCCCAGGACAAGCUAAAAAAGAGCAGAUCCAGACUACAACUACAGAAUCCUGUAAGAUUCUGAAACUUUGUCACUUCCUUUCUAAGGCUUCCUUCCUAAGCCUCUCUGUGAAACUCUUUGAAAAGGGGUAUGUGGGCUAGCCUGCAAGGACAGCCAGAAGGGAGAAGGAUCACAUCCCCCUCCGUGGCCAGGCUCUGAGAGACAGAAAUCCAGUGAAGGACAGAGCAUGGGGCUGAGUGUCUGUAGCCCACUGCAUUGAGGGCAGGAGAGCUCAGGGCAGGUCUGAGUCAUCACCAUUUUCUGUGUGUUUCUUCCUAAUAAGUGAAAUAAUGUGUAGUGUCUAGCACGGUGCCUGACAGCUCACAGAAAAUCCCCAACUUCCCCUCCCCCACCGCCAUGCCUUCUAACUCUCGGUGAGAUGAACAUCUCUACUGGGAGGGGAAGCCAUUGAGGGAAGAAAUGCUGGCACCUUGACAUUUGGGGAAAGAAAGGGAAGGAAUUGUUUUCCAAGUAUCUACUUUGUGCCAGAAAUGGUGUUGGGCAAUUUACUGAUUGCCUCAUUUAAUCCUUUGACGUAUCCUAGGAGUUAGGUAUUCUCAGCCCCAUUUCCAGAAAGCAAACCAAGGUGAAAAAGAGUUAAUAAUUUGUUCAAAGACAUAUGGAAAAGUGCCAGGCAUGGUGGCUCACGCCUGUAAUCCUAGCACUUUGGGAGGCCAAGGCGGGCAGAUCACUUGAGGUCAGGAGUUCAAGACCAGCCUGGCCAACAAGGCGAAAUGCUGUCUCGACUAAAAAUACAAAAAUUAGCCAGAAAUCACUUGAAUCUGGGAGGCGGAAGUUGCAGUAAGCCAAGAUCGUGCCACUGCACUCCAGCCUGGGCAACAGAGUGAGACUCCAUCUAAAAAAAAAAAAAAAAAGUCAUACAGAAAGGGUUGGAUGUGGUGGCUCACACCUGUAAUCCCAGCACUUUGGGAGGCCAAAGUGAGAGGAUCACGUGAAGCUAGGAGUUUGAGACCAGCCUAGGCAACAUAGUGAGAUCCCCUCUUUAGGGAAAAAAAAAAAAUUCUGCCACAAAAGCCACAUUCAAUAGAAAACAUUUUUUUAAAAAAAUAGCUAGGCAUGGUGGCAUGCACCUGUAGUCCCAGCUACACAGCAGGCCAAGGCGGGAGGAUUGCUUGAGCACAAGAGUUUGAGGUUACAGUAAGCAAUGAUCAGCUACUGCAUUCCCACCUGGGCAACAUCUCUAAAGAAAAAUCAAACAAAAAACGACAUACAGAAAGUAUGCGCUAUCUGAUUUCAACCCCAAGUUUGUCCUGCUUUACCAGGCUUUCUCCUGGGGCCUGGAGGCAGUGGGGCCAAGGGCAGGGGUGGGGUGUGCAGGGGACAGCAGUGCUCCAGCAAUAAGAGUUCUUGAAGAGUACUUCAUGAGGGGGUAUACACCAAUAGAGGGGAAGCCACCAGCCACCAACAUGCAGAGGAAAACAACAACAACAACAAAAACAGACCCCAAGGUAUCAGGAGAAGGACAGUCUGAAGUCAUCUGGCACCCAGCCAUUUUGGAAGAACUGAUGCUUCUCCACGGGCCUUGUUCCCGUGGUCACCCCACCCCCAAGAUAUCUUGUGACAGGCUCCUCCAGUAACCAGAGGCAGGUGAGCGCUGCUCUGAUCAACAAACACACCGCAUGUGGUCUCCAGCUGCAAUAAACAAGUGGCUGUGCACAGCCAAUGUCCUGUGUGGUGAAGGUGAGAAGAGUGAGGGGGAGCCAAGCUGCAACCCUCAGCCUGAAUGUGGUUGGAAUUAUGAGAGCAGUUGUCAAAGUUAGUACCUUGACAUAGUGCAAUGUGCAUUAAAGUGCACAGUGCAAGGUGACAGAAGAGGGGAGGGGGAGGGGGUGGGGGAAGGGGUGGGGAGAGGAGGGGGAGGGGAGGGGAGAGGAAUUGAGGAGCAGAACAGAAUAACACAGAAAGAACCAACCAGAGCUGGACCAAAAAUCGAGGCCAGGAUGUUGUAGAGUCUUGGGUUCAAAUUCUGCCUCCUCCUGGGAAGUCCCCUGAGCCUGCUACAAGGUCUUGGCUUGCACCCUAUUGCCUCUGGCAGAUCCUCCAACCAGCACCAAUGAAGCACCUACCCCAUGCAGGGUCCUUCAGAAACAAAGAGUGAGAUAGCUUCCAGUCUCAGGUGGGGAAUAUUUAGACUUGUGAACAGGGGCAAAGAAGGAGAGAAACAACCAGGAAGUAACCUCCAAUUUGCAGAUGGGGAAAAUUAAGUUUCAUCAGGAGGAAAUGACUUUGCCUCAGGCUUCUCUUGGGAUCCCAGAUUUCUAGAGGAUGGGGGGAAUGUCCCUGCUUUGGGCAUGUUUUUAAGAGCACUGGAACAGCCAGAGCUGCUGCCCACAGUCUGAAGUCAGGAGGGGAACUCCAUGUCAGAUAAAAGCUUUGGAAUCCAGAUGGAGUAAGGUUUCAUUUUCUCUGCCUGCAUUUGGUUUCCUAACAUCACAAUGUGAGCCUUGGCUAGCAGCCAGCUUAGCUUUGGAAAAGAGUGAAUGAUGGGGAAAAAAAAAAAAAAAGACUGUGCCAGGAAGGGAGGGGAGGAGAGGGGCUACACUAGGCUGGAGGGGAUAUGGGCCUGGCUUUAGAGGAUUAUGCUAGGAAAAGGGGUGCCAGAGGCGUGAAAGCUGAUAGGAACAAGCCCUGUGGAUCAAGAGGCCCAUCAGUGAGCCUGCAGGGUCUAUGAACUCCUUACAUGCAAAAUUACAUGUGUCUGUCUGUGUAGGUCUCUACAGAUUGGUGGAAGUGUUCACAGCUUUCAUGAGAUUAUUAUUUUUUUUUUUUUAAGAAAGGCACACUGCCGCAUGCAACACCUCAUUUGGAUGUGUCUGGAGUCUUGGAAGUUUGACUACCCUACAUUCUCCUACAAAUGGACCUUGAGAGCUUGUUUGGAGGUUCUAGCAGGGGAGCGCAGCUACUCGUAUACCCUUGACCAAAGAACAGUCCUCCUCUAUUGGGGAAGGUUGUCCUCUUCUGAAACUACCUUUGCAAAAAUUAUAGCAGUGAGAAAAUUAUGACAGUGAAAGAAAUCUGACCUAAUUGACUCCAUCUUGCUUCUAACCUCCCAGCUGCCCUUGUUCAUUCCUGGGCAUAGGGAGCACUAACUUUGGGAGGAUUUAGUUUAUAGUUUAACUUUGAAACAAAGAUGAUAACAGCCCCUCCCUGAGACCAACCCACUCCUUGCCUGGGGACCAGAAAGCCUUUGUAAAACUAACACAUUGGCCACAAGAUUAGAAAUGACGGCUCAGGAGUCAUGCAGCCAAAGGCCUCGAGAUCAUGAACCUCCCCAAUUGCUCCUGUAGAUAAUAUUAUUAUUGUAAAACCUAACAUGGGUGUUUGAGGUAUUUUUCAGACCCUGCCUUCUGAUGGAUCAGCUGGCACCACCCAGACCAGUAAACUGGCUCAUCUGGUCUUCUGGCCCCCACCCAGGAAC